UACAGAGGUCUCGAGCGUUGUUCGGAUUUACUGGGCGUAAAGGGAGCGUAGGCGGUUCGGUAUGUCGAAUGUGAAAGCCCACAACUCAACUGUGGAGAUGCAUUCGAAACUGCCGGGCUAGAGUACUGGAGAGGAGAGCGGAAUUCUUGGUGUAGCGGUGAAAUGCGUAGAUAUCAAGAGGAACACCGGUGGCGAAGGCGGCUCUCUGGACAGAUACUGACGCUGAGGCUCUAAAGUUAGGGGAGCAAACAGG
rnacentral:rRNA from 1 species